CAGUCGCCACGGUAAUACGUAGGUGGCAAGCGUUGUCCGGAAUUAUUGGGCGUAAAGGGCUCGCAGGCUGUUUCUUAAGUCUGAUGUGAAAGCCCCCGGCUCAACCGGGGAGGGUCAUUGGAAACUGGGAAACUUGAGUGCAGAAGAGGAGAGUGGAAUUCCACGUGUAGCGGUGAAAUGCGUAGAGAUGUGGAGGAACACCAGUGGCGAAGGCGACUCUCUGGUCUGUAACUGACGCUGAGGAGCGAAAGCGUGGGGAGCGAACAGGAUUAGAUACCCGGGUAGUCCCUGUCUCUUAUAA
rnacentral:rRNA from 1 species